rnacentral:tRNA from 1 species
UCAAUUAAAGCCAAAUUAGCGGCGUCUUUUUGUUAAUAAGAUUAUUGGAUUAUUAAUUCUAAUUGAA